rfam:Erinaceus europaeus cont1.184754, whole genome shotgun sequence.
UGGAUUAUAGUUAUGUAUGCAGGAGUGCCCACAUACUUUGCGAUACCUUAUGACUUUAUAUUUGGAAAUGUGCACACAUGCACAUUCAUGAAAGACAGAGAUGAUGAAUGUUCUCAUUUGAGUUAGAACCAAACACAGGGAGAGCAACCGAUGGGAGUUUUGUUAUUACAGUUCUGGUCUGACAUAGGCACUGGAAAAU